rnacentral:rRNA from 1 species
AUCAACGCUGGCGGCGUGCCUCAGACAUGCAAGUCGAACGAUUAAAGCUCUCUUCGGAGAGUGUAUAGAGUGGCGCACGGGUGAGUAACACGUAAGUAAUCUACCUUUGAGUGGGAAUAACAGUCGGAAACGGCUGCUAAUACCGCAUAACGCAGCGGCACCGCAAGGUGACAGUUGUUAAGGAGCAAUCCGCUUAAAGAGGAGCUUGCGGCAGAUUAGCNGUUGGUAAGGUAACGGCUUACCAAGGCUACGAUCUGUAUCCGGUCUAAGAGGACGGUCGGACACACUGACACUGAAUAACGGGUCAGACUCCUACGGGAGGCAGCAGU